UACGUAGGGGGCGAGCGUUGUCCGGAUUUAUUGGGCGUAAAGAGCUCGUAGGCGGUUCGAUAAGUCGGAUGUGAAAUCUCCACGCUCAACGUGGAGGGGCCAUUCGAUACUGUCGUGACUCGAGUCCGGUAGGGGAGUGUGGAAUUCCCGGUGUAGCGGUGAAAUGCGCAGAUAUCAGGAAGAACACCAAUGCGAAGGCAGCUCUCUGGGACGGUACUGACGCUGAGACGCGAAAGCGUGGGGAGCGAACAGG
rnacentral:rRNA from 1 species